rnacentral:rRNA from 2 species
CCGCGUGAGUGAUGAAGGUUUUCGGAUCGUAAAGCUCUGUUGUUAGGGAAGAACAAGUGCCGUUCAAAUAGGGCGGCACCUUGACGGUACCUAACCAGAAAGCCACGGCUAACUACGUGCCAGCAGCCGCGGUAAUACGUAGGUGGCAAGCGUUGUCCGGAAUUAUUGGGCGUAAAGGGCUCGCAGGCGGUUUCUUAAGUCUGAUGUGAAAGCCCCCGGCUCAACCGGGGAGGGUCAUUGGAAACUGGGGAACUUGAGUGCAGAAGAGGAGAGUGGAAUUCCACGUGUAGCGGUGAAAUGCGUAGAGAUGUGGAGGAACACCAGUGGCGAAGGCGACUCUCUGGUCUGUAACUGACGCUGAGGAGCGAAAGCGUGGGGAGCGAACAGGAUUAGAUACCCUGGUAGUCCACGCCGUAAACGAUGAGUGCUAAGUGUUAGGGGGUUUCCGCCCCUUAGUGCUGCAGCUAACGCAUUAAGCACUCCGCCUGGGGAGUACGGUCGCAAGACUGAAACUCAAAGGAAUUGACGGGGGCCCGCACAAGCGGUGGAGCAUGUGGUUUAAUUCGAAGCAACGCGAAGAACCUUACCAGGUCUUGACAUCCUCUGACAAUCCUAGAGAUAGGACGUCCCCUUCGGGGGCAGAGUGACAGGUGGUGCAUGGGUUGUCGUCAGCUCGUGUCGUGAGAUGUUGGGUUAAGUCCCGCAACGAGCGCAACCCUUGAUCUUAGUUGCCAGCAUUCAGUUGGGCACUCUAAGGUGACUGCCGGUGA